GACGAACGCUGGCGGCGUGCUUAACACAUGCAAGUCGAACGGAAAGGCCCCUUUGUUGGUCCUCGAGUGGCGAACGGGUGAGUAACACGUGCGUAACCUGCCCUUGCCUUCGGGAUAACUUCAGCAAACUGGGGCUAAUACCGGAUAGGAAUCCUUGCUUCAUUGUGAGGGUUGGAAAGCUUCGGCGGUUUUGGAUGUACUUGCGGGGUAUCUGCUUGUUGGUGGGGUUGUGGCUUACCAAGGCUUUGUCGGGUAGCAGGCCUGAGAGGGCGACCUGCCACACUGGGACCGAGGGACGGCCCAGACUGCUACGGGAGGGAGCAGGGGGGAAGACUGCACAAGGGGCGGAAGGCUGAUGAAGCAACGCCGCGUGCGGGAAGACGGCCUUAGGGUUGAAAAACGAAUGCAGCAGGGGCGAAGCUUGUGGUGACGGUACCUGCAGAAGAAGCAACGGCUAACUACGUG
rnacentral:rRNA from 1 species